rnacentral:rRNA from 1 species
CUCAGGAUGAACGCUGGCGGCGUGCCUAAUACAUGCAAGUCGAGCGAACGGAUAAGGAGCUUGCUCCUUUGAAGUUAGCGGCGGACGGGUGAGUAACACGUGGGUAACCUACCUAUAAGACUGGAAUAACUUCGGGAAACCGGAGCUAAUGCCGGAUAACAUUUGGAACCGCAUGGUUCUAAAGUAAAAGAUGGUUUUGCUAUCACUUAUAGAUGGACCCGCGCCGUAUUAGCUAGUUGGUAAGGUAACGGCUUACCAAGGCAACGAUACGUAGCCGACCUGAGAGGGUGAUCGGCCACACUGGAACUGAGACACGGUCCAGACUCCUACGGGAGGCAGCAGUAGGGAAUCUUCCGCAAUGGACGAAAGUCUGACGGAGCAACGCCGCGUGAGUGAUGAAGGUUUUCGGAUCGUAAAACUCUGUUAUUAGGGAAGAACAAAUGUGUAAGUAACUGUGCACAUCUUGACGGUACCUAAUCAGAAAGCCACGGCUAACUACGUGCCAGCAGCCGCGGUAAUACGUAGGUGGCAAGCGUUAUCCGGAAUUAUUGGGCGUAAAGCGCGCGUAGGCGGUUUCUUAAGUCUGAUGUGAAAGCCCACGGCUCAACCGUGGAGGGUCAUUGGAAACUGGGAAACUUGAGUACAGAAGAGGAAAGUGGAAUUCCAUGUGUAGCGGUGAAAUGCGCAGAGAUAUGGAGGAACACCAGUGGCGAAGGCGACUUUCUGGUCUGUAACUGACGCUGAUGUGCGAAAGCGUGGGGAUCAAACAGG